GACGAACGCUGGCGGCGUGCUUAACACAUGCAAGUCGAGCGAUGAAGUUCCUUCGGGAAUGGAUUAGCGGCGGACGGGUGAGUAACACGUGGGUAACCUGCCUCAUAGAGGGGAAUAGCCUUUCGAAAGGAAGAUUAAUACCGCAUAAGAUUGUAGCUUCGCAUGAAGUAGCAAUUAAAGGAAUAAUCCGCUAUGAGAUGGAACCGCGUCGCAUUAGCUAGUUGGUGAGGUAACGGCUCACCAAGGCGACGAUGCGUAGCCGACCUGAGAGGGUGAUCGGCCACAUUGGGACUGAGACACGGCCCAGACUCCUACGGGAGGCAGCAGUGGGGAAUAUUGCACAAUGGGGGAAACCCUGAUGCAGCAACGCCGCGUGAGUGAUGACGGUCUUCGGAUUGUAAAGCUCUGUCUUCAGGGACGAUAAUGACGGUACCUGAGGAGGAAGCCACGGCUAACUACGUGCCAGCAGCCGCAGUAA
rnacentral:rRNA from 1 species